AUUGAACGCUGGCGGCAGGCCUAACACAUGCAAGUCGAGCGGAUGAAGGGAGCUUGCUCCUGGAUUCAGCGGCGGACGGGUGAGUAAUGCCUAGGAAUCUGCCUGGUAGUGGGGGAUAACGUCCGGAAACGGGCGCUAAUACCGCAUACGUCCUGAGGGAGAAAGUGGGGGAUCUUCGGACCUCACGCUAUCAGAUGAGCCUAGGUCGGAUUAGCUAGUUGGUGGGGUAAAGGCCUACCAAGGCGACGAUCCGUAACUGGUCUGAGAGGAUGAUCAGUCAAACUGGAACUGAGACACGGUCCAGAAUCCUACGGGAGGGAGGAGUGGGGAAAAUUUGAACAUGGGCGGAAGGCCGAUCCAGGCCAGGCGCGGUGGUGAAGAAGGGCUUCGGAUUGUAAAGCACUUUAAGUUGGGAGGAAGGGCAGUAAGUUAAUACCUUGCUGUUUUGACGUUACCAACAGAAUAAGCACCGGCUAACUUCGUG
rnacentral:rRNA from 1 species